GCCUUCGUAGCUCAAUGGAUAGAGCACCGGCCUUCUAAGCCGUUGGUUAUGGGUUCGACUCCCAUCGAGGGCACCU
rnacentral:tRNA from 1 species